GAGUGAUCUUCCCCGUGCUCACAUCUUGCUUCUUGUUUCCUAACAAACAGGAGACCGUGCGGGAAGCACUUGAUUGUGAUUGCAUGGCCACCGGAGAAGCCGUUGCACACACGGUAACUUCAAGGAGGCCCUGACAGCGGACGGGACAGCACUCAGCAGCCAAGGUGGUCCCCGCCCAUCUUAGCCAACUGGGAAUCUGAAUUCUAAUCUGUGUCGCUGAGCUCUUGGAGAUGGCCAGCAGCCAACAAUGUCCUCCUGUAUCACAAUCCAGAAGAAAUGUGAAGAAUAAAAAGUUCAGAAGCCAUUUGUGUUCAAAUAGAGUGCAAUUAAAAAGUCCCAGGCAAGCAUUAAAGCUCAUAAACAAGAGAGCGAGCAAGAAGGAAAAUGCAAGAAGCAAACGUUGAAGCAAGUUAUAACCUGCCAGAGAGGAGAAAGGCAAUAGAAAAUCAGAAAGGGAAAAAAAGGAACAGUUAUGACCACUAAUUAGCAAAUGGAAAAAGAUAAUUAGCUUCCCCCCAAAGGCUGAAUUAGGAAAAAAUGCUU